UACGAAGGGUGCAAGCGUUACUCGGAAUUACUGGGCGUAAAGCGUGCGUAGGUGGUGAGUUAAGUCUGUCGUGAAAGCCCCGGGCUCAACCUGGGAAUGGCGACGGAUACUGGCUCGCUAGAGUGCGGUAGAGGAGAGUGGAAUUCCCGGUGUAGCAGUGAAAUGCGUAGAGAUCGGGAGGAACAUCAGUUGCGAAGGCGGCUCUCUGGACCAGCACUGACACUGAGGCACGAAAGCGUGGGGAGCAAACAGG
rnacentral:rRNA from 1 species